rnacentral:rRNA from 1 species
UAGGGAAUCUUCGGCAAUGGACGAAAGUCUGAACGAGCAACGCCGCGUGAGUGAAGAAGGUUUUCGGAUCGUAAAACUCUGUUGUUAGAGAAGAACAAGGACGUUAGUAACUGAACGUCCCCUGACGGUAUCUAACCAGAAAGCCACGGCUAACUACGUGCCAGCAGCCGCGGUAAUACGUAGGUGGCAAGCGUUGUCCGGAUUUAUUGGGCGUAAAGCGAGCGCAGGCGGUUUCUUAAGUCUGAUGUGAAAGCCCCCGGCUCAACCGGGGAGGGUCAUUGGAAACUGGGAGACUUGAGUGCAGAAGAGGAGAGUGGAAUUCCAUGUGUAGCGGUGAAAUGCGUAGAUAUAUGGAGGAACACCAGUGGCGAAGGCGGCUCUCUGGUCUGUAACUGACGCUGAGGCUCGAAAGCGUGGGGAGCAAACAGG